rnacentral:rRNA from 1 species
GAUGAACGCUGGCGGCGUGCUUAACACAUGCAAGUCGAACGGUGAACACGGAGCUUGCUCUGUGGGAUCAGUGGCGAACGGGUGAGUAACACGUGAGCAACCUGCCCCUGACUCUGGGAUAGCGCUGGAAACGGCGUCUAAUACUGGAUAUGUGACGUGACCGCAUGGUCUGCGUUUGGAAAGAUUUUUCGGUUGGGGAUGGGCUCGCGGCCUAUCAGCUUGUUGGUGAGGUAAUGGCUCACCAAGGCGUCGACGGGUAGCCGGCCUGAGAGGGUGACCGGCCACACUGGGACUGAGAGACGGCCCAGACUCCUACGGGAGGCAGCAGUGGGGAAUAUUGCACAAUGGGCGCAAGCCUGAUGCAGCAACGCCGCGUGAGGGAUGACGGCCUUCGGGUUGUAAACCUCUUUUAGCAGGGAAGAAGCGAAAGUGACGGUACCUGCAGAAAAAGCGCCGGCUAACUACGUG